rnacentral:rRNA from 1 species
GACGAACCGUGCGAACGUUGUUCGGAAUCACUGGGCUUAAAGGGCGCGUAGGCGGGCCGGCAAGUCAGGGGUGAAAUCCCACGGCUCAACCGUGGAAGUGCCUUUGAUACUGCGGGUCUGGAGGGAGGUAGGGGCGUGCGGAACUUCCGGUGGAGCGGUGAAAUGCGUAGAUAUCGGAAGGAACACCGGUGGCGAAAGCGGCGCGCUGGACCUCUACUGACGCUGAGGCGCGAAAGCCAGGGGAGCAAACGGG